rnacentral:misc_RNA from 1 species
GAUGAAGAACGCAGCGAAAUGCGAUAAGUAAUGUGAAUUGCAGAAUUCAGUGAAUCAUCGAAUCUUUGAACGCACAUUGCGCCCGCCAGUAUUCUGGCGGGCAUGCCUGUCUGAGCGUCAUUUCAACCCUCAAGCAACUUCUGCUUGGUGUUGGGGAUCGGCCGUCAAACGCCGCCCCCGAAAUCUAUUGGCGAUCUCGCUGUAGCUUCCUAUGCGUAGUAGUAACAUCUCGCAUCUGGAGAGCGGCGCGGUCAUGCCGUAAAACACCCAACUUCUCCGGUUGACCUCAGAUCAGGUAGGAAUACCCGCUGAACUUAAGCAUAUCAAUAAGCGGAGGA